GAUGAAGAACGUAGCGAAAUGCGAUAAGUAGUGUGAAUUGCAGAAUUCAGUGAAUCAUCGAAUCUUUGAACGCACAUUGCGCCUCCUGGUAUUCCGGGAGGCAUGCCUGUUCGAGCGUCAUCAAAAACCUCAACCCAUGAUUUAUUGUGAGUUGGUUCUGCAUUGGACUCCUUGUGGGUCCUUUGCGAAAUCCAAUGGCGAAGACCCACGCAACCAAAGCGUAGUAUAACUAUUUCGUUAUGGAAGCGUGGGUGCCUCUGCCGUAACCCCCAAUUUCUUAGUUUUUGACCUCGGAUCAGGUAGGGAUACCCGCUGAACUUAAGCAUAUCAAUAAGCGGAGGA
rnacentral:misc_RNA from 1 species